rnacentral:lncRNA from 1 species
CGGGCGCACCCUCGAAACCGUGGGCUAUAGCAUACCAAUUUAGCCUUAAAAUACCUUGUUCGCACCAUUUCGUCUGUUAGACCUAUCAAAUGGCCCCGCCCACAAAAAUGGGCAACACUAGAAUGCUCCCUAGCCUCCAUGGCACACCCAGGUUGAUUUUUGGCCUACGGCACCACUGUACAUCAAGCCUACCCCCAAAAUCGUAGGCUAUAGCACUCUGAUUUGGC